GACGAACGCUGGCGGCGUGCCUAAUACAUGCAAGUAGAACGCACAGUUUAUACCGUAGCUUGCUACACCAUAGACUGUGAGUUGCGAACGGGUGAGUAACGCGUAGGUAACCUGCCUGGUAGCGGGGGAUAACUAUUGGAAACGAUAGCUAAUACCGCAUAAUAUUGAUUAUUGCAUGAUAAUUGAUUGAAAGAUGCUAUUGCAUCACUACCAGAUGGACCUGCGUUGUAUUAGCUAGUAGGUGAGGUAACGGCUCACCUAGGCGACGAUACAUAGCCGACCUGAGAGGGUGAUCGGCCACACUGGGACUGAGACACGGCCCAGACUCCUACGGGAGGCAGCAGUAGGGAAUCUUCGGCAAUGGACGAAAGUCUGACCGAGCAACGUCGCGUGAGUGAAGAAGGUUUUCGGAUCGUAAAGCUCUGUUGUAAGAGAAGAACGGGUGUGAGAGUGGAAAGUUCACACUGUGACGGUAUCUUACCAGAAAGGGACGGCUAACUACGUG
rnacentral:rRNA from 1 species